GACGAACGCUGGCGGCGUGCUUAACACAUGCAAGUCGAACGGUGAACUCCGCUUGCGGGGGGAUCAGUGGCGAACGGGUGAGUAACACGUGGGCAACCUGCCCUCAGCUCUGGGAUAACUCCAAGAAAUUGGGGCUAAUACCGGAUAUGACCGCUGACCGCAUGGUCUGGUGGUGGAAAGAUUUAUCGGCUGGGGAUGGGCCCGCGGCCUAUCAGCUUGUUGGUGGGGUAGUGGCCUACCAAGGCGACGACGGGUAGCCGGCCUGAGAGGGUGACCGGCCACACUGGGACUGAGACACGGCCCAGACUCCUACGGGAGGCAGCAGUGGGGAAUAUUGCGCCAUGGGCGAAAGCCUGACGCAGCGACGCCGCGUGGGGGAUGACGGCCUUCGGGUUGUAAACCUCUUUCAGCAGGGACGAAGCGAAAGUGACGGUACCUGCAGAAGAAGCACCGGCCAACUACGUG
rnacentral:rRNA from 1 species